rnacentral:lncRNA from 1 species
AUGUGCCCUUUCUCGCCUUAUGCACAUUUUCUAAGCGACUAUUCAAUCUUUACCAUCAAAUCUGAAGACCCUAGUCCCAAAGCAUGGCAUGUCAAUGCAACCGAUUCUUGUAUCCUGAAUGAGAGAACAAAUCACGAACAUGCUGGCCAUGAUUCACUCUCAGUAGCCCUUAGUCAUGAAUUUAUCUCAAGGAAUGCCAGGUAUUUGGACAUGAAACUUGCCAACUGCGUCCAGAACGGCUUGUCUCCCGAUUUGGUCAGAUGGAAGAAGAAGCUGCGGAAAGUGGAGGAAAUUCUCUUAACUGGGCUUCCAAUUCAGGAACACAUCGAACGAGAGUCGAUUUUCUGUGAUUAUUUACCUAUGAUAAGAUCUAUUAGUCGCUCUGAGUGUGUAAGACUUGCUGGUAAUUCCAAACGCUCCAAUAGAUUUUUCAAUUAUUUAUCCAGUUUGAACAUGCAUCCUGACGAAAGCCAAAGAACCCUAAUGUGCAAUUCAUUUGUUGUUAUGAAUGAAACAAAAUCGAGUUCAUGAGGCAUUCUCAUCCAAAUACGCAUUCCCUCAAGGAUCUAGUAUUUUGAAACAUCAGUAAUUUGUCUUGAAGACGAAGAAGAAGGAAAGAGCUGUGAGUAGAAAAUACGUUUUUUAAGAUUGAGUUUCAGCUUUUUAUUUUUAGGUAAGAUGACGCCAAUGUCUAGUUAAUUCUGCUGCCUCAUGGCAUGGCAUGUUAGUCCUUUUUAUAAUUAGGCAUGUUUCAGCACUUUUGUAAUUUUUCUGCUGCAAAUUUCUCUUUCGCUGAUUUUCUUCUUUAAUCAUGGGUCAAUCUUCUGUGCCGAACAAUUCUAAUAAUCUUGAGAAGGUACAAUACUCUUUGAAGAAAAAAUUCUAAUCAUUGAACAUUUGUUAAAUCAUUUUAGAUUGUCUGAAAAAUUAAAAAAAUUGAUACCGUAAAAAUACUUUUGUACCAAAUUUUACAAGUAUAUUUUAUUUGUUAGCGUAGGUGAUGUAUAGAUCAAUUGUUUGAGAGGUAAUGUGUUUUUUAACUCAACGAAAAGGCGCAUCGUUUCAAUUUUAGUGUGAAUGGAUAUGAGUUAUCAUAGUAAUUUUAGAUGUUGGAUAUCGACUUACAAUUUUAGAAGUUCUGUCAAUAGUAUGCAUACAAAAAAAGGAUAGGCACAUUUUUGAAUUUCCAUCUCUUGAGCCUUCCAAGAUUCUGAGUUUCUUUGAUGUUGUGCUUGUACUACUUAGUUGAAAUAUUUUUUAAAAUUUUACUGUGCAGUAAUGUUUGUGAUUUUUUAAGUACUCGUGAUUGUAUUUUUGUCAUUACGAACUCAUUUUCCAUUCAAUUUUAAUGCGUUGUCAUUUCAGUAAAGUGUAUACCAUACAUCCUAGAUAACACAAUGAAAGUGUAACCCACAACAUUAUCAACGGAUAAUGACAUGGAUUGCAUUUUGCAAAAAGGAACCAAAAGCAUUCCAAUGUUGCUAAGAUUGUGUAUCUUAUAUUCAUUCAAUCAAAUUACUGAAAUCAUGCAAAAAAUUAAAUUUACAAAGGUAGUUUUAGUCUUUAAGUUAUAGUUUAUUGGAAGUAAAGAGGAAAUCAGUUUAGAUAAUCUGUGUAUAUUUGCAAGGUAAACAAACUUGCACAAUCUUAGCAACAUUGGAAUGCUUUUGAUUCCUUUCUGCAAAAUGCAAUCCACAUCAUUAUCUGGGAAUACUUCAAAAUGGUCAGAUAUAGCCAUAACCGCCGAAAGUGGCAGAAAAAGGAAGAAAAUAGCCGAAGGUAUGCGCCUUGAUGACAUAAUUGAGUACCCUUUCAUGAUGUCAUCAAUCGUCAACUGGAAGCACCCCAAAAUGACCGAUCACAGUUGAACCUAGAUGGAACAUGGAACAAACAGCAUGGAAUUCAGAUAGGUAGUCGCCGUCAUGAGGAGGAUGAAAACAGUGAAUAAGAAGGAAAUUGAAAUUAUUUUGCGUUACAAAAUAAUAUUAAAAGAGAUAAAA